UAUCUUUGCGGGCAAUUAACAAUUUUAUUUACGCUUUUAUAUUAUUCAAGAAUGUAUUUAAGUAAAGAGUACAAAGCAGAUAUCUUCGCAGAGUUCGGAGGUGGAGCA
rfam:Triticum urartu cultivar G1812 contig618432, whole genome shotgun sequence.